ACUCCUGCGGGAGGCAGCAGUGGGGAAUAUUGGACAAUGGGCGCAAGCCUGAUCCAGCCAUGCCGCGUGAGUGAUGAAGGCCCUAGGGUUGUAAAGCUCUUUCACCGGUGAAGAUAAUGACGGUAACCGGAGAAGAAGCCCCGGCUAACUUCGUGCCAGCAGCCGCGGUAAUACGAAGGGGGCUAGCGUUGUUCGGAUUUACUGGGCGUAAAGCGCACGUAGGCGGACUAUUAAGUCUGGGGUGAAAUCCCGGGGCUCAACCCCGGAACUGCCUUUGAUACUGGUAGUCUUGAGUUCGAGAGAGGUGAGUGGAAUUCCGAGUGUAGAGGUGAAAUUCGUAGAUAUUCGGAGGAACACCAGUGGCGAAGGCGGCUCACUGGCUCGAUACUGACGCUGAGGUGCGAAAGCGUGGGGAGCAAACAGGAUUAGAUACCCCGGAGUCCCAUG
rnacentral:rRNA from 1 species